rnacentral:rRNA from 1 species
CAGCCGCCGCGGUAAUACGAAGGGUGCAAGCGUUAAUCGGAAAUACUGGGCGUAAAGCGUGCGCAGGCGGUUAUAUAAGACAGAUGUGAAAUCCCCGGGCUCAACCUGGGACCUGCAUUUGUGACUGUAUAGCUAGAGUACGGUAGAGGGGGAUGGAAUUCCGCGUGUAGCAGUGAAAUGCGUAGAUAUGCGGAGGAACACCGAUGGCGAAGGCAAUCCCCUGGACCUGUACUGACGCUCAUGCACGAAAGCGUGGGGAGCAAACAGGAUUAGAUACCCCUGUAGUCCCUGUCUCUUAUAC